ensembl:lncRNA
AUGAGGAGGCACGUGCACACUGGGGCGGCCGCGCUCCCUGGAGGAGGGGGCCCGGGAGCUCCCUGGAUCCAAGAGUGGAUUCCUGAGCAAAGCCUCCGCGGGUGGAGAAAGCGAGUAUGGCGGGGGCCACGGGGGUCCGAGUCCUGGCACGCGGCUGCGCACCCCCCGCUCCCCUGCGCCGCGGGCGGGGCUGGGGCCGGAAACGCGCGGCGGCGGCGGAUUCCUGCGCGGUGGGACAAGCCCGCGCCUGCGCGCCGCCCGGACAGGGCACGUCGCCCGCUUGGGGGGGUGGCAGGCCUGGGAGGAGGGACCCUGACCCCCCCUCACCGCCUGCCGGGGCGGGCCGCGAGGCUGGACGGGGGCGGCGCGGGGCGGGGGGCGGCAGAAGGCGCCUUUGUGUGCCGCGUCCCCGAGCGUGUCGCGGCGGGCCCGGCACCGGCCGCGCUCCAGCGCCCGCCCCCGGCCCGGCGCAUACCUGGCGAGGCCGCGAGGGGGUUCUGCGGGCCGAGCCCCGCCUGGGCUGCGCCGCCGCAGGCGGGAGAGGCUGAGGACCCUUUCGGGAAGCCCCUCCGACGGCUGCCCAGGUUGGACACUUGGUCAGAACCGUGCUCCCAGAGGGAGCCAGUAACAGAAGGAGCCAGGCUGCGGUCCACACCAAGGGCGGCCUACAGAGGAUCUUGGGCCCUCAGACCUCCACCUGCUGCAGAGCUGCCGCCAGUCAAGCCCUUGUUUCCAGCUUUCCGUGCCCUAAAUAAACUUCUGUCAGGAUUGAGCCGUCAGCAUUCUAUGGUGGGUGUCGCUGCUGUGAGGCUGCCCUCGUGCACGCACGCUCCUCUCAGGGGAAGGCGAUCUGCCGUGACAUCCCCGUUAGAGAAGUUUCCCGCCUGCGUGCCCUCGCACUUCUCAUGCAGGUGGCUCCUCCAUCUGCUCCUGUGUGGUUUCUUCUUUUGGUUCCUUCAUUAUCUCUCUUUUGGUGCUGUUUCCCAGGGAAUUAACUGCUAGAAGUUUGGUCAGUCCUCAGCUCUCCUCUUCACCCUUUUCUGUAGAUUCAAACAGACACUGAACUGUUCACCUGGCAUUGGGGCAGAAGGAAGGGCAGGCUCGGCCCCUGGCCCUGGUCUACAGCAGCUGCGUGGCCUUAGGGCAGCUCCUUCCACAUUUUCUGGCCUCAUCUGCACAGAAAGGCACCUCCCUCACAGCAGGACCUGCCUUGGACGCUGUCCUUGAGGAAUGGGGGAGGAUGUAAUUCUUCUUCCUCCAGGACGGCCCUGGCUCACUCCGAGUGCUGCUUCACUGCUCAGGCUGGGUGUUGCAGCUGAAUUUCCACCUCUCGCUGGGCCUGGCAGUGCUUUCUGACAAGCAGUCUGACAUUCAGGGCACGCUUCUUGGCCAGAUCGACCCCACACCCUUGAGAAGCUCCAGCAUGAGUCUGACAAACCUCACUGAGGUUCAUACAUCCCUGCAAGGUGGGGGUCAGGCAACUCCGGGGGUGGCACAAGGGUAAAAGGGUGUGCUCCUGGGGUGCAUGGGCCACACACAGGGAGCCCCUGAUGGCCAUUCCAGAGCCACAUUGUGCCUCGGGCUCCUCACCCAAUAUUUAGCUCCAGGAAGGCCUGCUCAGAGAUUGCCCCCCGCCCCAGCCGCCCCCCGGACAGAGGGUGGGACAAACUUCCAUGGGUUGGAAAGGACCUCCUGGAGGCUGCUGCUUGUAAGGUGGAAGGCUCUGUGCCUUCAAGGAGCCAGCCAGGUUCCUGUGCAGGACGUACUCUGGGCAGACGAGGAGGGGAACCACACCCAGAGGCUGGGGGCAGUGGCUCCACCAGAGGAUCAGCGGCUCGGGGCCUGGUGACACUGCAGAGGGUUCCCCUGCGCCUCUGGGCCUCAUCGUGCUGUUUCACAGGGCACUGCCCACCUCGGGCAUGGUGAGCCGAUGGUCAGAGCUAUGCAGGCCUUGGCAAUCCGGCUUGCUGGGUGUGGGCAGGGAGCUCAGGCUGGGGCUGUGGGGGUGUACUGCUGUGGGGUUGGUGUGUCCCGUGGGAGGCGAAGGGGCUGGAUCCUCCUAAAGGAAUCUGCCUGUGUGCACAGCUUCUCCAUGUCACGGGCAGGGACCCAGACACAGCCCGAUCUGCUGCCAAUGCCAAAGCCCCUUCCCUAGCCUCAGUCUCCCCAUCCAGGGAGUACUGGGCAUUCUUCCCUGGCCAAGUCGUGGAGGAGGUUGGAGGCUAGAGGCUGAGUUCUGCUCCCGUUCCAGUCGCCACGGGGCCAUGGGGGCUUCAGCCACGGGGCCCUGGGGGCAUGGGGGCAUUCAGGGAAGCAGAGGCCUUUCUGGGGAGGGAGCCGGUACUGGUGCCCAUGGUGAACCUGCCAGCACAGUCUCUGCCUGUUCAGCCUCCCCUGGGCCAGCUCUGGGCUUUGCCAGGCCUCCUUGGAGCCUGCACCAGCCACGCCCACCAGGCACAGGCCAGCACCCACAGAGGCUGGCAGGUCUGUGAGCUCAGGAUUAGGGCCCCACAGAGGCAGACCCAGGGGUCCCAGAGGUCAUAGACUCUCAGCCCAUGCAGCCUGGUCCUGGCCCACCAGGCCACCUGUGUGGCCACCAUCCACAUCCCUGUGGCCAAGCCCAGGGCCCACCUGGCUCCCGUCCCAUGGGCACCCCAGGGAGGUCUUCCUCUCUUCUCUGCCCACAACUCUUCACCCUCUCCCUAAGCCCCCUUCCCUCACCUGGGAUCUGAUCUUUCCUCUUGGACACCUCAUGAUGCCCACAGCACGGUCUCCAUCUCUGUGCUGCAGACCCCGUGCUCUGUCCCCAGCCCUGACUCUCCUCCAAAGUGCAAUGCAGGUCUCCAGUGGCCUCCGGACCUCCAUCUCUCAGAGGCACCCCUCCCCUGGCAGUCCAGGCUCUGGGGCUGCCCCUUUCCCUCCCUCCCUGAUCAAUUCCACCUCCUAAGCAUCUGUCCAUUCUGAGCGCUGCUGGCCCCUCUUCCAGUGCUGACCUCACCUCUCCUGUCCCCUUCCAGGGUUCCCACCUCACCUCGACUCCAUCCUGGCUGCCAAGAGAGCAUCUCACACAUCUGACAUGCCCCUCCUCUGCUCUAAAGCACACCAUAACUCCCCAGUGCCUGGAAAAUCAAACCCAAAAUCCUGUUGUGGCCACAACCUCAAUGGAGCCCACACUCCACCACGCCAUGCCUGGCUCCUUACUGGUC